CUAAGGAAGGGCAGAAAUUAAAGUUUUCUUUUGGAGCCCUGAAGAUGAGCCAUAACGGUAGGCAUGACAGAUAGGCAGGAUUCAACAACAUCUGAAUUUGGGUUACAAGUAGUUCAACAAUAUCCGAAGUAAUUUGUCAUUCAAACAGUGCCAAAGGAACCUGGGUCAUGCUCUUUCAUUGGGAAAGGACACUUCAUUGAAUGGAAACACAAGCCGAAAAGCAGGAAACAAGGCUAAAUAAAGCAAGAUGCACACAAAGGCACAACAUCCUAAUUAGCCCAAACAAUUAUGGUCGCAACAGCCGCCACCAUCGAACAUAUCAACAUGAAAAGCCACAUGAUCACAGUAGAUCUUCAACCACCCAAAAGAGGAAGGCCGCAAAGUCAGCAAAAAUACAAGAGCCGCUUUAAUGAUGUCAAACGGAUCUCCCUUGAGGAUCAACUCGUUUCGAACGCACAAAAUAUGAUAAAAGAGGAUGGGGACUAACACGUACUGUAAAGUUCUAAGCUCAGAACCCAACUAGAGCUCAUAGUCCAAUAGAUCACCAGUAGAGACAUCAUUAACCUUUAACAUAGCCUUCUAUCUUUUUCAGGAUAAUACCAAAAGAAAGUUCUUGAGAGAGUCUGAAUGGAAAGAUGUGGUGGGGAAAUAGCUCUUUUCCUUCUGAUUGUGGAAGUGCAAAG